rnacentral:rRNA from 1 species
GACGGAGGAUGCAAGCGUUAUCCGGAAUGAUUGGGCGUAAAGCGUCCGCAGGUGGCAGUUCAAGUCUGCUGUCAAAGACCGGGGCUUAACUUCGGAAAGGCAGUGGAAACUGAACAGCUAGAGUAUGGUAGGGGCAGAGGGAAUUCCUGGUGUAGCGGUGAAAUGCGUAGAGAUCAGGAAGAACACCGGUGGCGAAGGCGCUCUGCUGGGCCAUAACUGACACUGAUGGACGAAAGCUAGGGGAGCGAAAGGG